UUUAAUUCGAAGCAACGCGCAGAACCUUACCAGCGUUUGACAUGGUAGGACGGUUUCCAGAGAUGGAUUCCUUCCCUUACGGGACCUACACACAGGUGCUGCAUGGCUGUCGUCAGCUCGUGUCGUGAGAUGUUGGGUUAAGUCCCGCAACGAGCGCAACCCUCGUCUUUAGUUGCUACCAUUUAGUUGAGCACUCUAAAGAAACUGCCGGUGAUAAGCCGGAGGAAGGUGGGGAUGACGUCAAGUCCUCAUGGCCCUUACGCGCUGGGCUACACACGUGCUACAAUGGCGGUGACAGAGGGCCGCAAACCCGCGAGGGUGAGCUAAUCUCCAAAAGCCGUCUCAGUUCGGAUUGUUCUCUGCAACUCGAGAGCAUGAAGGCGGAAUCGCUAGUAAUCGCGGAUCAGCAUGCCG
rnacentral:rRNA from 1 species